rnacentral:tRNA from 1 species
AAAGAUUUUAAGUUAAAGUGAAACUGAGAGUUUUCAAAGCUCUAAAUGGUAUUAAAAUUAUCAAAUCUU